rnacentral:rRNA from 1 species
GACGAACGCUGGCGGCGUGCCUAAUACAUGCAAGUAGAACGCUGAAGGAGGAGCUUGCUUCUCCGGAUGAGUUGCGAACGGGUGAGUAACGCGUAGGUAACCUGCCUGGUAGCGGGGGAUAACUAUUGGAAACGAUAGCUAAUACCGCAUAACAGUAGAUAUCGCAUGAUAUCUGCUUGAAAGGUGCAAUUGCAUCACUACCAGAUGGACCUGCGUUGUAUUAGCUAGUUGGUGAGGUAACGGCUCACCAAGGCGACGAUACAUAGCCGACCUGAGAGGGUGAUCGGCCACACUGGGACUGAGACACGGCCCAGACUCCUACGGGAGGCAGCAGUAGGGAAUCUUCGGCAAUGGACGGAAGUCUGACCGAGCAACGCCGCGUGAGUGAAGAAGGUUUUCGGAUCGUAAAGCUCUGUUGUAAGAGAAGAACGAGUGUGAGAGUGGAAAGUUCACACUGUGACGGUAUCUUACCAGAAAGAGACGGCUAACUACGUG